UUGAACGCUGGCGGCAUGCUUUACACAUGCAAGUCGAACGGCAGCGGGGGCUUCGGCCUGCCGGCGAGUGGCGAACGGGUGAGUAAUGCAUCGGAACGUACCCAGUCGUGGGGGAUAACUACGCGAAAGCGUAGCUAAUACCGCAUACGCCCUGAGGGGGAAAGCGGGGGACCUUCGGGCCUCGCGCGAUUGGAGCGGCUGAUGUCGGAUUAGCUAGUUGGUGGGGUAAAGGCCUACCAAGGCGACGAUCCGUAGCUGGUCUGAGAGGAUGACCAGCCACACUGGGACUGAGACACGGCCCAGACUCCUACGGGAGGCAGCAGUGGGGAAUUUUGGACAAUGGGCGCAAGCCUGAUCCAGCCAUUCCGCGUGAGUGAAGAAGGCCUUCGGGUUGUAAAGCUCUUUCGGCCGGGAAGAAAUCGCAUCUCCUAAUACGGGGUGUGGAUGACGGUACCGGAAGAAGAAGCACCGGCUAACUACGU
rnacentral:rRNA from 1 species